rnacentral:rRNA from 1 species
CCUACGGGUGGCAGCAGUGAGGAAUAUUGCACAAUGGGGGAAACCCUGAUGCAGCGACGCCGCGUGAGUGAAGAAGUAAUUCGUUAUGUAAAGCUCUAUCAGCAGGGAAGAAAAUGACGGUACCUGAGUCAGAAGCCCCGGCUAACUACGUGCCAGCAGCCGCGGUAAUACGUAGGGGGCAAGCGUUAUCCGGAUUUACUGGGUGUAAAGGGAGCGUAGACGGCAGUGCAAGUCUGGAGUGAAAGGCGGGGGCUCAACCCCCGGACUGCUCUGGAAACUGUACGGCUGGAGUGCAGGAGAGGUAAGUGGAAUUCCUAGUGUAGCGGUGAAAUGCGUAGAGAUUAGGAGGAACACCAGUGGCGAAGGCGGCUUACUGGACUGUAACUGACGUUGAGGCUCGAAAGCGUGGGGAGCAAACAGGAUUAGAUACCCUGGUAGUC